GCGGCCAGAGUUUCUUAGCAACCGCUAGGCGACAGAUAGUGGAGCUUGCCGCUUCAGUUAUACUAAAGUAUAUAAUAAUAAAACACAGCUUGAGAAGUGACGAUCACACCAGAGAUGAUCUGAGAUGAAGAAGAACUGCUCGGAACGCUCUCUCAGAGUCAGUCUCCUGACUAAACCCGGUCAGAGCGCUGUUUCUACUAGCAGGUGGUUAUGCAGGUGUAUGAAUCUACCCUAUGAACGGGGUCACUACGACUUCGAGAGCUUUAGGAACACGAAGAGCAGUGCAUUUAUUAAGUCCCAGCAGCAGACCUGUCCCAGGUGUACCACUCUCCCACCAGCAUCGAAACAGGAUGAUGUACCUCUUAUAGAUCCAUGUUCAGGUCUCCUGAGUCCAGCCGCGAGGGUACAGCUGGGCAUCAGACAAAAUACCUCAUUCAUACCCAUCAUGCAUGCACAGUCUGAACUGAACCCAAGAGCCAAAUCAGAGACAGCUGUACAAACUGGAAUUAAAGGCCUCCACAGCAGUGAAAGACCCAAUCCAGUUCCUAUCAGAACACUGCGGUCUGUCAAAUCUGCGGAUAUGAAGAAGGAUGCACCAACUUCUGUUCCAAAUAAAUGGAUGGAUUUGGCUCUGCGGUACACCUACACCUCAGCAGCUCAAAGAGGUUAUGAGGAUGUGGACUGGGACUCUAGGUUACCCCCUUGUUUAAAACCUCCAGUGACUGCUCUGGAGAAAAUGACCGACCCUCUUAAUCAGAGUUUCAUUUUAAAGAGAUACCACAGCAAGCCUGAACUAUGGCAGGUAAUUGGACUUCAAUGGGAUAAGCGUCAACUUCUUUCCUCAGACACUGUAAGGAAGCCCUCUAGUUUCCAUCCCACAAUACCUGGUUACACUGGGAAAGCUCACCAUGACAGACCACAUACCUCAGCCAUCAGUCUGACCUCUGCAGUAUUCACCCCUCCAGUUACAGAUGUAAUGCACUGACGCUAUACGAUAAUGGGACAGUGAAGAGUGUUGUGAUGGGGGUCACUAGACGAGAAAGGCUGAGAACCCCGGCAUGUGAGAAAUCGUAGUCAAUCUGGGGAACCGCUGGGGAAUCCUGAUUGCACCCCUUCUUUUCGCCCAUCCGUGCCUCUAUCUGCUAACCAGGGUCCUUACACAGCGUUUGAAGACCCCACCCAGAAGACACAGUGGCCAAUUGUCUGCUGCAGUAGGCUAGUAGGUGCCCAGCCGACCGGUGGCAGAGCCAAGAUUCGAACCGGGGUCUUCAGAAUCACGGUGCUGGUGUGCUAGCAGAAUACCCUGCUGCACCACCUGGGCGCCUCCAGGACCUUCUUUUUUUGAGGUGACAAUGCUACCAACCGAGCCUCCAUG